UACGUAGGGUCCGAGCGUUGUCCGGAAUUACUGGGCGUAAAGAGCUCGUAGGCGGCUUGUCACGUCGGGUGUGAAAGCCCGGGGCUUAACCCCGGGUCUGCAUCCGAUACGGGCAGGCUAGAGUGUGGUAGGGGAGAUCGGAAUUCCUGGUGUAGCGGUGAAAUGCGCAGAUAUCAGGAGGAACACCGGUGGCGAAGGCGGAUCUCUGGGCCAUUACUGACGCUGAGGAGCGAAAGCGUGGGGAGCGAACAGG
rnacentral:rRNA from 1 species